rnacentral:rRNA from 1 species
CGGCAAACGGGUGCGGAACACGUACAGAACCUUCCUCUCAAGCGGGGGAUAGCCCGGAGAAAUCCGGAUUAAUACCCCAUAGUAAUAUUUAGUGGCAUCAUUAGAUAUUUAAAGAUUUAUCACUUAGAGAUGGCUGUGCGGCUGAUUAGGUAGUUGGUGCAGGUGACGGCUCACCAAGCCAUCGAUCAGUAACUGGUGUGAGAGCACGACCAGUCACACGGGCACUGAGACACGGGCCCGACUCCUACGGGAGGCAGCAGUAAGGAAUAUUGGUCAAUGGAGGCAACUCUGAACCAGCCAUGCCGCGUGAAGGAUGAAGGCCCUCUGGGUUGUAAACUUCUUUUAUCUGGGAAGAAAUGCAUUCUUUAUAGAGUGUUUGACGGUACCAGAGGAAUAAGCACCGGCUAACUCCGUGCCAGCAGCCGCGGUAAUACGGAGGGUGCAAGCGUUAUCCGGAUUCACUGGGUUUAAAGGGUGCGUAGGUGGGAAUGUAAGUCAGUGGUGAAAUCUCCGUGCUUAACAUGGAAACUGCCAUUGAUACUAUGUUUCUUGAAUUUUCUGGAGGUCAGCGGAAUAUGUCAUGUAGCGGUGAAAUGCUUAGAUAUGACAUAGAACACCAAUUGCGAAGGCAGCUGGCUACAGCGAUAUUGACACUGAGGCACGAAAGCGUGGGGAUCAAACAGGAUUAGAUACCCUGGUAGUCCACGCCCUAAACGAUGGAUACUCGACAUUUGUGAUAGACAAUAAGUGUC